UCGAAGUUGGAUGGGUGGGGGGUUUUGUUUUUGAAACGAAACAAGAGGGCUAACCUUGGGGACUGAUUUCAGUUGGUUUGUAAACUGACAUAGGGUUUUGAUUUUAGGGUUAUGAGGGGUUUUUAUAUAGUACAUAAAAUGGCACCGUUUAGGGCUUGUUUCAGUGGCUUUAAAACGGUGCCGUAUUGGUUGAUUAUCCCCAGCAACCAGUGCGGUGACCUGACCCGAGGAAGGAUCCACAUGUUUUUCAGUGCUUGGGUAUAUUUCACAAAUAGUCC
rnacentral:lncRNA from 1 species